CGACCCAGAGGGGCCAGGCCGCCGUUUUCCGGUCAUAAAUGGAAAAAAAUAAAUAAAAAUUCAACAGCAAAGGACAAAGAGUCUGGCAGGUCAGGCUGCCUGCUGGGGUUUUAGCAGAGCCGUGACUUGCAGCCACGUCAGCCGCCUGCCUUACCACCUCCAGGGACAUUAAAAGAACGCCAGUCUUUAAAAACGGCGUGAGAACCAGCGUUUUGGGAUUUCAGAGGAAAAUGGCGGCUGAAAGCGCAUCUCCAUGUGCUGCACUGACCGACUUAAGCUCAGUGACCAGUGAUGAGAACCAGGUUGAUUUUGCAGAGCCUGAGCUCCAGUUUACAGUUCAUCCUCCUCCUCUGUGAUUCUGUGAUUCUUAAUUUAUCAUCAACGCCGUGUUUCCUAAUCAGCUGACGGCGCUGCAGGAAUGGUGUGGAUGUCAUAAAAGUACCGGUUCAUAUUAAAACAGGGGUAAAAGAAAACUAAACCCUGGAGUCUUAAACGCUACGCUCAAGCUGUCCCGAUUGGCUGUGAGGCCCUCGUGAGCCCGCCUCCAACUCCUCCUCCCCUUUGGUGCUCUGAGUUUUACCCACAGCUGCUUUAAUUGCAUCUUUUUUCUCCUUAGACUAAUUUUUUUGCCCCAAAGAGUCUGAAACCAUACGAUUCUUAUAAGGUUUUAUUUCAACAAUCUUAAGUUUUAUAAAAAUCCAAAAAGCCAAGUACAGUGCCUGGAAUAAGUCUGGACUUUGACUAGGCCAAUCCAACACAUUUAAAUGUUUUCUCUUAAACCAGUCGCUCUAGCAGUCUGCUUUGGGUCAUUGUCCUGCUGGAAGGUGAACCUCCAUCCCAAUGUCUAACCACAGGCAGUCUGACAGCGGUUCUGACCCAGAACAUCCCUGAAUUUAGCCCCAACCAUCUUUCCCUCGACUCAGACAAGUUUCCUAGGCCCUGCUCUCACCAUGAUCAAUAAAUCAAUUAAUGGCACGAUUAUAUUUAUCACAUGAUUAAUUAAAAUAAGCGCGAUACUUUGCAGAUGCACACUUGCUCAUUUCCCCUUCUGUUUCCAUCUCCUCUCUCAGACGGGAUGACAAAAGGUUUCAGUACGCUGCUUCGGUGUCUGCUCACCCUUCUCGUUUCCUCAGUGUAGGCGCGUUAAGUCUGGCCGGGUUCCCACAGAAAAUGGGGGGAAUCCUGGUGGUAGUGGUCUGGUGGCUUGUGGGAAGUGAACGAGGAGCGCUGCGCGAUGCAGCUUAAAGGAGAGGCGCAUCCCUUAACCGGGUACCGUAGUGAGCGUCAGGCUAACGACAGCUAGCGUGUUAGCUAGCCUGUUAGACCGGGAGGAACUUUACCGACCCUUUUAUGUUACUCUCAAACAUCCAAG